GGGAAUUGUAGUCCUGCUCUUAGUCAGCAUUUGGCACAAGCAACGGGCCUGCAAGUCCUGGAAUACGAUCAAUUAAAGGGCAAGUGACCAGGAUUUAUCGCCCUGGGGUCUGGGGCUGCAUCUCUGCAAUUAGAUUCUGCUGUCGGACCAGAUGAACAUUACUGAGGUUCUAGUCCGGUAUAAUUUAUCUUAUCAAUAAUGGGGGAAGCAAGACGGAUAAUGGAGACGGUCAUAAAACACGCUUUUGAGAUAGUCUACCUACUUACUGGAGAGAGUUAUAUUGUAGUGAAGAUAAAAGAUGAGCACAGUCCAUUUGUGGCUAAAAGCGUUUAUGGGCCGCCAUCUGCUGUGUUUGCGUGGGAGAAAACUG